rnacentral:tRNA from 1 species
GUUUUAAUAGUUUAAAAAAAACACCGGUCUUGUAAACCGAAAAUAAGAAUGAGCCCCCACUUUUAAAACU